rnacentral:rRNA from 1 species
UGAAUACGAGACGCUAAGGCGUCGAAGUAGUGUAUGUCAUACUUCCAAGAAAAGCUUGCACUGUCAUAGAUAAAAAACGCCUGUACCAUAACCGACACAGGUGGGUAGGUAGAGUAUACUAAGGGGCGCGAGAUAACUCUCUCUAAGGAACUCGGCAAAAUAACUCCGUAACUUCGGGAGAAGGAGUGCCUUAUUCGUAAGGUUGCAAUAACAAGAUCCAAGCAACUGUUUAUCAAAAACACAGGUCUCCGCUAAGUCGUAAGACGAUGUAUGGGGGCUGACGCCUGCCCAGUGCCAGAAGGUUAAAGAAGUUGGUUAGCAAUUGCGAAGCUGAUAACUGAAGCCCUGGUGAACGGCGGCCGUAACGAUAACGGUCCUAAGGUAGCGAAAUUCCUUGUCGGGUAAGUUCCGACCCGCACGAAAGGCGUAAUGAUUUGGAUACUGUCUCGGAGAGGGGCUCGGUGAAAUAGACUUGUCUGUGAAGAUGCGGACUACCUGCACCAGGACAGAAAGACCCUAUGAAGCUUCACUGUAACUUGAAAUUGAAAUUGGACUUUAUUCGCGCAGUAUAGGUGGGAGGCGUUGAUUAUAAUCUUGUGGGAUUAUUGGAGCCAUCAGUGAGAUACCACUCUUGUAAUGUUAGAUUUCUAACUUUGAAUCAUUAUCUGGUCAAAGAACAGUUUCAGGCGGGCAGUUUGACUGGGGCGGUCGCCUCCUAAACGGUAACGGAGGCGUACAAAGGUUUCCUCUGAACGGUUAGAAAUCGUAUCUAGAGUGUAAAGGCAUAAGGAAGCUUGACUGUGAGACCUACAAGUCGAGCAGGGACGAAAGUCGGUCUUAGUGAUCUGACGGUACUGAGUGGAAAGGCCGUCACUCAACGGAUAAAAGUUACUCUAAGGAUAACAGGCUGAUCUCCCCCAAGAGUUCACAUCGACGGGGAGGUUUGGCACCUCGAUGUCGGCUCAUCGCAUCCUGGGGCGGUAGUACGUCCCAAGGGUUGGGCUGUUCGCCCAUGAAAGCGGUACGCGAGCUGGGUUCAGAACGUCGUGAGACAGUUCGGUCCAUAUCCGGUGUAGGCGUUAGAAUAUUGAGAGGAGCCUUCUUUAGUACGAGAGGACCGAGAAGGACAUACCUCUGGUGUACCAGUUAUCGUGCCAACGGUAAACGCUGGGUAGCUAUGUAUGGAGUGGAUAGCCGCUGAAAGCAUCUAAGUGGGAAGCCCACCUCAAGAUAAGUAUUCUCAUC